GACGAACGCUGGCGGCGUGCUUAACACAUGCAAGUCGAACGGAAAGGCCCUGCGUUUGUGGGGUGCUCGAGUGGCGAACGGGUGAGUAACACGUGAGUAACCUGCCCUUGACUUUGGGAUAACUUCAGGAAACUGGGGCUAAUACCGGAUAGGAGCUCCUGCUGCAUGGUGGGGGUUGGAAAGUUUCGGCGGUUGGGGAUGGACUCGCGGCUUAUCAGCUUGUUGGUGGGGUAGUGGCUUACCAAGGCUUUGACGGGUAGCCGGCCUGAGAGGGUGACCGGCCACAUUGGGCCUGCGAGACGGCCCAGACUCCUACGGGCGGCAGCAGUGGGGAGUAUUGCACAAUGGGCGGAAGCCUGAUGCAGCAACGCCGCGUGCGUGAUGACGGCCUUCGGGUUGUAAACCGCUUUCGCCUGUGACGAAGCGUGAGUGACGGUAAUGGGUAAAGAAGCACCGGCUAACUACGUG
rnacentral:rRNA from 1 species